UUCCCUUACCUCUGUCCUCUGCGUGAUGUCAAUUGCUUCGUUGAAUAGUGUUUGAUGUGGGUUCCGUUCAGGUCAUGAUGGUAGUUUUCCCUUACCUCUGUGUGCGUUAGGUUGAUAGUAGGUGAUUUGUGUAAGUGCAGUGGGUACUGAAGGAGAAGAGCAGCGUGUUGAAUUUGAAUGGGGUAUGCCAUUUUGAGCUGAAGUUAGGUUUAGUAACUAGAUGUAGAAUUAGAUUGUGAUGAAGGCUAAACAGAAGCUCUCCUUUUCUACGUGUUUCUUCAAUUGAGAAAACACUUUAACCCAUGGGAAAGAGGGAUGGAGGUCAGUAUGUAGAGGACUGAUGGAAGCUAGAUGACCAUAUGUGCAAAGGACAAGAGGUCGAUGAAGUUGAGCCCAUAAUGGAAGCUUUACCUAAUCUGGAACUGUAAGUUUUAGUAACCUUUGAUAUGCUAUCCAAGUCUACUCAGAAGUGCAUAUUUUCAUUGAUCUAUUCAUCAAUGCGUUAUUUAGUUAAUCAUAUUUAAGAACGAAUUUAACUAGAUUAAUAAAGAAAUUGUUUUUCUCAUCCCAUCACAUUGAUCUAUUCAGUUUAUGUUUCAUAUGCAUAAAGCAUGAUACCUAACUUUAAGUAGUGAUUGUCACUGAAAGGUUGCAUACUUAUUUUUCUAAAUGAUUUAGUAAUGAAUUACUUACAUGGUAAUAUCAAUAUGGCAGCCUUAAGCAUGAUAGGUAACUAAAAUAUAUGUUUUCUGUGUUUUAUGUAGUCUUCAAACUUUAAUACAUGUUUCACUCAGGUUAAAACUAAGAUUAAACAAAAGUAAUUUGUGUGGUCUUCUUUUACUUCUUAUUAAAGGGGCUAUGACAUAUGAACACUGGCUUAUUUUGUUAUAAAGCAUAGCACAAACUAUGUAAUGUGCUUAGUUACAUAUUGUGUAGAUAAUCUGAUACAGUUGCUCUAGAUUUAUAUGCUUCAAAUACUCAUUUUUCAGUUUUUAGUAUUUCAAAUACUGUCUUAUCUUUAUUUCUGGUUUUAUCUUUCUUUAAGUGCUAUUGGGCAGGAUCUUUUUGCUUAAUCUCAUAUCAGUUAUUUAGGUGUAGGAAAAAUGAAUGCAUAGUUUUCAAGUGUAGGAUCGCUAUAACAAGUGGCUUUUGAUUAGUUUUUUUAAUAGUAUGCAUUGGUUGUGGUAUAGAACAACAUUAUAUACUACAACAUUAACCGGAUAGUAAGAUGUAUAAUGCUGUCAAAAACAUGUUGUUCUACUACUCUUGGAUCUGGAAAUCCACUGUUUAACAAUGAAUGUAUAUAACGCUUAACUUCUAUGAUGAGAAGUUCAUUGCGAGGUUAUGUCUGCUCAUGGCAUACUGAUAUUGGCAAUAAAUUGGACCCAAGAUUUGCUUCAUCCUUAUUGGAAAAGGGUUUGCACUGAUUAAUAUGUAUCCGGACUCAUAUCACGGAAACAAAAUUCAGAUGACCUCAACAGUUAUAUUAUUGGUGACAAGUCAAUUGAAAAAGAUGCUGGGAUCAAUGGAAUUUCUUAUGUAGAAGCUUUGCCACCUCCUCCAGAAAUUAAAGACAAUAUUCCAUCACAAAAAUAUAAGGAUCCGUCAAUUACUUCAUAUGUACCAGACCUGGAAGGGGGCCUGUUUUGCUACCUGGUGAAAAUCAAGCUCUUCUCAAUGGUGAAAAUGGGCUUCCCAAGUGAGUUUAAGGACAUAUUCCCAUGGUUGGUCAAUUCUUCAUCAUACUUAUCCUGCAGGUUUCAUUAGCCUGAAAUAUUUUAGUUUUUUACUACAUGACCCUUUCAAGGAAGUAUGUGGUAUCAUUAUUUGUUCAUUCCAAAGUUCGCAGCUUGUGUUUUUUCGUAUAUCUGUAAUUCUUAUUUCAAAUAUUGUCAGGUUAUUUCUUGGUGAAAAAUAAGUCUCCUUCCUUUCUGUAUUGUUGAGCAAAAAUUUGAGUUUUCAAGAUGUCAGCUUUUUAGGUGAACAAUUUCCCUAUUUUUGUUUAUUGUGAUAUGACUACUGUUCUCAUUCACCUCAAAAAAAAAAAAAAAGAAUGGUUCUUUUGUUGUCUAGGGUGUAAAAAUUGAGGCUUAUAUUGAGAAGAACUAUCUUCCUAAGUUCAGAGGUGAAUGGUACUAAAAGCAGGGCUUUUUGGUUCGUUGGUCUUUUCCAUCCCCUUCAUAGCUUAUAAAUGGAACCAAGCAAACAAGAUUUACUGAACUAUGGGCAAAGUGGCUUACAGAAGUAAGAACCUGCAAAGGAAGAACCUUCAGAAGAACCAGAAGAUUCAGUUCCAGAUCUAUUCUGCUGACAAGCAAGGGUAAAGAGCCAAUUGAAAAGGAUUGCCAGGCCAAUGUACUCUAAUCCACCAGUUCACGGGGCUAGGAUUGUUGCUGAUAUAGUUGGAAAUCCAGUUCUCUUCAAUGAAUGGAAAGCAGAGAUGGAAAUGAUGGUAGGAAGGAUAAAGAAUGUUAGACAUAAGCUAUAUGAUAGUAUUUCUUCAAAAGACAAGAGUGGAAAGGAUUGGUCAUUCAUGGGCUUGAACAAGAAUCAGAGUGACAAUAUGACAAACAAGUGGCAUGUAUACAUGACAAAAGAUGGAAGGACUUCCCUGGCAGGAUUGUCACUGGCCAAAUGUGAAUACCUUGCAUAUGUUAUUAUCGACUCUUAUCAUAAUGUCAGCUGAAAGUCUGAAACUAGAUGAAAUAUUCUUUAUCACCAAGCUUAUAUUUUUUGGUGAGUAUUAUAUCCAAUCAUAGUGGUCGGCACACAUGACAAUAAUUCAUGUAAACAUUAAUGUCAUACAUGUACCUUUAAUUCCCUUAGGAAAUUUUGUAACCUUGAAAUAAGUUGAAUCAAAGUAUUGAUGCAUAAUGAGUCUGCUUCUCAGACUUGGAGCAAAUUGGAUCAAA